GACGAACCGUGCGAACGUUGUUCGGAAUCCCUGGGCUUAAAGGGCGCGUAGGCGGACGACCAAGUCGGGGGUGAAAUCUUUCGGCUCAACCGGAAAAUAGCCUUCGAUACUGGCCGUCUAGAGGGAGGUAGGGGCGUGUGGAACUUCCGGUGGAGCGGUGAAAUGCGUUGAUAUCGGAAGGAACUCCGGUGGCGAAAGCGACACGCUGGAUCUCUUCUGACGCUGAGGCGCGAAAGCCAGGGGAGCGAACGGG
rnacentral:rRNA from 1 species